rnacentral:rRNA from 1 species
UACGUAGGGUGCAAGCGUUAAUCGGAAUUACUGGGCGUAAAGCGUGCGCAGGCGGCUUUGCAAGACAGAUGUGAAAUCCCCGGGCUUAACCUGGGAACUGCAUUUGUGACUGUAGAGCUGGAGUACGGUAGAGGGGGAUGGAAUUCCGCGUGUAGCAGUGAAAUGCGUAGAUAUGCGGAGGAACACCGAUGGCAAAGGCAAUCCCCUGGACCUGUACUGACGCUCAUGCACGAAAGCGUGGGGAGCAAACAGG